GUCUUGUAAUUGGAAUGAUGGUGACCUAAACCCUCACCAGAGUAACAAUUGGAGGGCAAGUCUGGUGCCAGCAGCCGCGGUAAUUCCAGCUCCAAUAGCGUAUAUUAAACUUGUUGCAGUUAAAAAGCUCGUAGUUGAAUUUUUGCGUGGUGUUAAUAUUGACUGAUGUCGAGAUUGCACUUCGCUUUUGGGAUUUUUCCCUUUUUACUUUGAGAAAAUUAGAGUGUUUCAAGCAGACUUUUGUCUUGAAUACUUCAGCAUGGAAUAAUAGAGUAGGACUUUGGUUCUAUUUUGUUGGUUUGUGAACCUUAGUAAUGGUUAAUAGGAACGGUUGGGGGCAUUCGUAUUUAACUGUCAGAGGUGAAAUUCUUAGAUUUGCUAAAGACGAACUACUGCGAAAGCAUUUGCCAAGGACGUUUUCAUUAAUCAAGAACGAAAGUUAGGGGAUCGAAGACGAUCAGAUACCGUCGUAGUCCUAACCAUAAACUA
rnacentral:rRNA from 1 species